UACGUAGGUGGCAAGCGUUGUCCGGAAUCAUUGGGCGUAAAGAGCGCGUAGGUGGCUUGUCAGGUCCGAUGUGAAAACCUGGGGCUCAACUCCAGGCCUGCAUCGGAAACCGGCUUGCUAGAGUCUGGGAGAGGAGAGUGGAAUUCCUGGUGUAGCGGUGAAAUGCGCAGAUAUCAGGAGGAACACCGGUAGCGAAGGCGGCUCUCUGGAACAGUACUGACGCUGAGGCGCGAAAGCUAGGGGAGCGAACAGGAUUA
rnacentral:rRNA from 1 species